CUGUCGUUGUCAGGGGCUGGUAACUCAGGAAGAAGAGCUCAUUCCAAUGACCAGAUCCACAAGUUAGUUCUCACAAGCAAUAGAAAUUCAGGACAACAAAAGGUAUCUGUGAAAGGUUCUUUUAGACUAAAAUUUGGUGAAGAUUAAAAGAGGGCAAAAGUUCAAAUGAGAACGAGCCGCUGCCAAGUAAGCAGGAAUCUUGGCAAAAGGGAAGGAAAAAGCACCAUCGGUUUAAAAGGCAAGUAACCAUGGCAAGCCAAUAGCUCCAUGCUAGAAUCUGGUUAAGAAGUAAUAUCACACAGAGCUGCGAUUGUUUAUUCAAGACUAGCCCAUGAGAGAACAGUUGUCUCCAAUGAGUAUUCUCACAGCUUGGAUCCAAAAUUGUGCUGAAUUGUGUGUGGUGGUGGUGCUCAGGACCUUAACUAUCAGGCUAGUGGAAAGCAGUCAAGGAGGAACUCUGAGGAGUCCAACGGAUGGAUGGUGAUCUCUGUGGAAGAGAAGCCCUCCGGAGAUGGAACAGUAGGAUAAGAAAUCCAGAAUUCGUGGUUAGAUUUGAAAACUUGAUCUUCAGCAUCUGAUCACUUGACAAUUCAAAGAUUUUUCUUGAGCAGAGAUAAUUAAGGUAGGAAUGGAACCAACUAUUGCCACAAUGGGG